rnacentral:rRNA from 1 species
UACGAAGGGGGCUAGCGUUGUUCGGAUUUACUGGGCGUAAAGCGCACGUAGGCGGAUCUUUAAGUCAGAGGUGAAAUCCCAAGGCUCAACCUUGGAACUGCCUUUGAUACUGGAGAUCUUGAGUCCGGGAGAGGUGAGCGGAACUGCGAGUGUAGAGGUGAAAUUCGUAGAUAUUCGCAAGAACACCAGUGGCGAAGGCGGCUCACUGGCCCGGUACUGACGCUGAGGUGCGAAAGCGUGGGGAGCAAACCGG